rnacentral:lncRNA from 1 species
CUACUGGGGUAAAGUGUUUUGAGCUUGGAAUUCUUCAGGGGUAAAGUGUUUUGAGUUUGGAAUUCUUCAGCGGUAAAUGGUUUUGAGCUUGGAAUUCUUCAGGGGUAAAGGGUUUUGAGCUUGGAAUUCUUCAGGGGUAAAGAGGUUUGAGAUUGAAAUUUUUCAGAGCUUGGAAUUCUUCAGGGGUGAAGGGUUUUGAGCUUGGAAUUCUUCAGGGGUAAAAGGUUUUGAGCUUGAAAUUCUUCAGGGGUAAAGGGUUUUGAGCUUGGAAUUCUUUAGGGGUGAAGGGUUUUGAGCUUGGAAUUCUUCAGGGGUAAAAGGUUUUGAGCUUGGAAUUCUUCAGGGGUAAAGGGUUUUGAGCUUGGAAUUUUGGAAUUCUUCAGGGGUAAAAGGUUUUGAGCUUGGAAUUCUUCAGGGGUAAAGAGUUUUGAGCUUGGAAUUUUGGAAUUCUUCAGGGGUAAACAGUUUUGAGCUUGGAAUUCUUCAGGGGUAUGACAAUGAAAAACAUGUAUCCUCGACAGGGGGGGUACGGAUAUUAAAUGGAAUAGCCCAAUACUGUUAUUCGUGUUCACCGCUCCUUGGCCAUCAGAAUUAAAUAUUGCAUAUAAUUUGAAUAUAUUAUAUGGGUCUUAAUUUAUUACACCCCAAAAUUUGGGGUGUAAAUUUUAGCCGAUGCCAGGGCCUUCUCCAGCUCAAAGGCCCUGGGGACGAGGUUGACAGUCAUCCAUUUAUAAAAAAUUAAAACAUGCAUUUCAGGA